GGGCGCUCCACAUGGACACGUGUGAGAGCAGGCGGGCACUCCACAUCGGCACGUGUGAGAGCAGGCGGGCACUCCACAUCGGCACAUGUGAGCAGGCGGGCGCUCCACAUGGGCACGUGUGUGAGCAGGCGGGCGCUCCACAUCGGCACGUGUGAGCAGGCGGGCACUCCACAUCGGCACAAAGCGAGGGCUCAUGCAUAAGAGUUGCAGGGACACCUGGACAGCUAUUUGAAAUUUAAAAACUGGGUUUCCUGGCUCACAUUUUGUAUCAAAAACUAGAAGUAGAUCAAUGAUUUCAAUAUGAAAAUGAAACCCAUAAAAGUACUAGAAGAAAACACGGAAAACAUUUCAAAUAUAAUCUUUAAGGGGGAAGAGCAUUCUAACUAGAACACAAAACUUAGAAGACAAGAAAGAUUGAUAAUUCAACUACAUAACUCAUGAAAGGAAGAUCUGAGGAACGAGAUGUCCACAGUGGCCGCUGAGAAGCUCUGCCACACUCCUGGAGGCAUGGAAGGCUGUGCCCACACAGGCACAGAGCUGUGUGCGUGCCCGAGAGGAACCUGAGCUGCCCUGGCCCUCACCUCUGGCUGGCUUUGUGGCUACGUGCAAGAAGUGAAGGCAAAGGCACAGUUGGCAGCUGCCUGCUGGAGCACUGACCACACAUCAACUGCGUGUCGGCAGAACCGCGAUGGAGCGCUGAAGGCACACACACCACGCAUCAACUGCAUGUCAGCAGAACCGCGAUGGAGCGCUGAAGGCACACACACCACGCAUCAACUGCGUGUCGGCAGAACCGUGAUGGAGCGCUGAAGGCACACUCACCACGCAUCAACUGCAUGUCGGCAGAACCGUGAGAGUUACUGGUGCAAAGCACUUAAAGGGGUCCUCUGUCCAGUCACUGGCUGAACAUGAAGCUGAUGAGAUGGACACUUCAAAUUAGUCCAGAACACACACUAAACAAAAGGUAACAGCAACAGAACAACAAUAAACUCGUGGAGAGGGUAUCUGAUUUCCAGAGUUGCACAGCACAUUAUUAAAGUGUCCAGUCUUCAAAAAAUACAUAUAUAUGAGACCACAAAGAAAGAGUAUGUUAUUUCCUUGGCUCUGACAUGGGAAAAAAGGUCAUCAAUAGGAACUUCCCCUGAAUAAGCCCUGAUGCUGAACUUAGUAGACAAGUCACCUAUCUAUCUUAUCUUAUCCUAUCUAUCUAUCUAUCUAUCUAUCUAUCUAUCUAUCUAUCUAUCUAUCUAGUUUUGAAAGCGUCUCGCUCUGUGGCCCAGGCUGGAGUACAAUGGCUCGAUCCUGGCUCACUGCAACCUCCGCCUCCCGGGUUCAAGCAAUUCUCCUGCCUCUGCCUCCCAAGUAGCUGGGAUUACAGGUGCAUGCCACCACGCCCGGCUUAGACAAGUACUUUAAAUCAGCUUCUACACAUAUGUUCAAAUAACUAAAGGAAACUGUGUCUACAGAAUUAAAGUAUGAGAAUGUUUCACUAAACAAAGAAUAUGAGUAAAGAUACAGAAAUUAUAGGAGAGAGCCAAAUGGAAGUUUGGAGUAGAAAAGUACAAUAACUGAAAUGAAAAAUUCACUAGAGCAGCUUGACAUCAGGUUUUGUUUGGCAAAAGCAUCUGUGACCUUGAAGAUAGGUCAACUGAGAUGACCCAUUCUGAGAAGAAGAAAAAAUUCCAGAAUAAAGGAAAGUCAAGGAGGCCUCCAAGGCUGUGCCCAGCUCCACAUCAACACACGUAGCUGGAGUCCAAGCGGGGGAAGAGAACAUGGACGUAAAAUAUUUCGAGAAACGACAACCUAAAAUUUCCCAAAUUUGCAGAACCGCAAUGGAGCACUGAAGGCACACUCACCGCACAUCAACUGCAUGUCGGC
rnacentral:lncRNA from 1 species